UCAAGUAUCAAUGGCACAGGUAGCUAAUAUUUUGCUGCAAGUUUGUCUAGCUGAUGCUGCUACUCUGAAAUUUCUUGGUAUGACCGUGUAUCAGUUUUCUUACCUACAUUUGUUGAUCCAUGUUAGGUUUUAGGUCUUAAAAAAAGUUAUUUGAAGACAGCGUUGCAGAAACUGCAUUUGAAAUACCUUGAAAGCCAACGCCUUAAAUUGAAGUCACUCUGUUGCAGGGUAACUCAAGUACCAUGCACUUGAGCUAAACCAUGCUAGGCUUGCUUACUUGCUGAUGAAAUAAAGGGAUCCUUACACAUUUGCUUUGAAGUUUCUGGCCAAAGUACACAGAGAAAAUGAUAACUCAUCUGUCCCCUACAAGCAAUUUGCUGGUUGAACUAAACCAGAAGUGGUUCCACCUGCAUUUACACAAGAGGCUUCAGCUGGUUGGUUCUGGUACGUAAGCUUCACAUCUUCAAUUUUAAUACCACUGCAUGGACGGUUCUUGCUACAAUCCAACUUCACUGCAACCUCUGUUGCAGACGAUCCAUGGAUGUCCUGGCCCACAGUCUAUGUUCUCGAUCCAAACGUUGGUAGUACCAGGACCAACGGAGACACAAUCAUCGCCGGUUGCAAUCCUGGAAUUUAAGAUUGUGACACUCCUCGAUAACUGGACAUGAAUGCCAUCCGU